rnacentral:rRNA from 1 species
AUUGAACGCUGGCGGCAGGCUAACACAUGCAAGUCGAGCGGCAGCGGAAAGUAGCUUGCUACUUUGCCGGCGAGCGGCGGACGGGUGAGUAAUGUCUGGGAAACUGCCUGAUGGAGGGGGAUAACUACUGGAAACGGUAGCUAAUACCGCAUGACCUCGAAAGAGCAAAGUGGGGGAUCUUCGGACCUCACGCCAUCGGAUGUGCCCAGAUGGGAUUAGCUAGUAGGUGAGGUAAUGGCUCACCUAGGCGACGAUCCCUAGCUGGUCUGAGAGGAUGACCAGCCACACUGGAACUGAGACACGGUCCAGACUCCUACGGGAGGCAGCAGUGGGGAAUAUUGCACAAUGGGCGCAAGCCUGAUGCAGCCAUGCCGCGUGUGUGAAGAAGGCCUUAGGGUUGUAAAGCACUUUCAGCGAGGAGGAAGGCAUCAUACUUAAUACGUGUGGUGAUUGACGUUACUCGCAGAAGAAGCACCGGCUAACUCCGUGCCAGCAGCCGCGGUAAUACGGAGGGUGCAAGCGUUAAUCGGAAUUACUGGGCGUAAAGCGCACGCAGGCGGUUUGUUAAGUCAGAUGUGAAAUCCCCGCGCUUAACGUGGGAACUGCAUUUGAAACUGGCAAGCUAGAGUCUUGUAGAGGGGGGUAGAAUUCCAGGUGUAGCGGUGAAAUGCGUAGAGAUCUGGAGGAAUACCGGUGGCGAAGGCGGCCCCCUGGACAAAGACUGACGCUCAGGUGCGAAAGCGUGGGGAGCAAACAGG